UGCCUGUUGGAGACGUUGUUGGAGAAAUACAUAAAAACCCAUGAAUAUCCUUCUUAAUUAAGAAACCCUCUACCUGAACAUAAAGACUGAAUUAUCCCGGUAUACAUAUGUGGUAAUUAUUUUCACUUUAACUCAUAUCCGAGUUAAUGCAGUAGUAAAAUAAAAUAUUUGUAUCCGCCAUAUAUUAGAAUAGCAUCAUAUAAUAAACAUCAAAACAAGUCGACACGUAGUGAGUCGCAGCAUUACUUAUACUAGGUAGUCAGUUAGUACAAGCAAAAACUAUCAAACCAAAGUAUUGUAUCAGGAAUAAAUUCCAUUUCAAUUUUCUUCAAUGUCUUUGGGCAGCUGAGUCGUCCAAGAAUCCUACAAUAAAUACACAGUCGCCGUCUCGGAGAAAAUAUGCCUCGUCCUGCCCAAGACGUACGAUUUGGAUUCUGGAACCCAGACGAGCUGAACAGACGAUGCCUAGCAGCCUAUGUAAAAAGAUAACCCCAAGGCGCGCGGGCGUAACUAAAACACCACCAUAGACCAGUAUUUUGGUUUCUCAUGCAACAUCUUGUUACGAGAUUGCAUAGUCUUUAGUGUCAAGAGUCUCUUCCCUUUUGCAUUCCUGGGGACUGCGACAGGUUAUAAUUCUAAUAACAAAUGUAAUUCUGAGUCUACUCAUGCGCACGGUGACCGUUUUACAUGCUAUGUAUAUCCUAGUGCUACAAGCGUAAAUGUCACAUAGAAUUUAUAAUUUGUGUAGAAAGUUAUUUUCUUCAAUGCAAUACUUAACAUUAGCAUUUUAAUUUUAGAUUACAUUACUGGUUACGUUAAUUGUAAUGUAAAGCCACUUUAUAUUUUGAUAUAUGUAUUUUUAGUGGAAAUGUAAGUGAUCUGAAAACCUAUAAAAAUAAGCCAAAUUUAUUUUUUCGGUAUUUUUAUAGUCAUGUUUUCCUUUUCCAUUUACUCGUUUACGAAAGAUGGCUCUGGAUAAAAGUUUUUUCUCAAAGACUCUCUUAAAAAUCAACUUAGUUGUUUGUUAAGGAAAUAUAAAGUGAUUUACGUAUAAGAGAAUGUCAGUUGAUAAAUUUAAAAAACAUACAAAAAAAACGUAUAUUUGCUUCCCGUACAUUCGCCGGUACUUAAUUCAAUUUCAAAAACUCCAAUAUGAUUAUUUAUUGUGUAAAUACUCGAUGCAAACCUAAAUUAAUCCUCUUUUAUAAUAAAUUAACUACUUUAGAAUA